UGAGGAAUAUUGGUCAAUGGGCGGGAGUCUGAACCAGCCAAGCCGCGUGGAGGAAGAAGGUACAGAGUAUCGUAAACUCCUUUUGUCAGGGGAUAAAAGGCGCCACGAGUGGCGUUCUGAAGGUACCUGAAGAAAAACGCAUCGGCUAACUCCGUGCCAGCAGCCGCGGUAAUACGGAGGAUGCGAGCGUUAUCCGGAUUUAUUGGGUUUAAAGGGUGCGUAGGCGGUCUUUUAAGUCAGCGGUGAAAGCCCGGGGCUCAACCCCGGCGAGCCGUUGAUACUGGGAGACUGGAGAGGAAGAGAGGCAUGCGGAAUUCGCGGUGUAGCGGUGGAAUGCUUAGAUAUCGCGAAGAACUCCGAUUGCGAAGGCAGCAUGCUGGCUUCUGUCUGACGCUGAGGCACGAAAGCGUGGGGAUCGAACAGGAUUAGAUACC
rnacentral:rRNA from 1 species